AUGGAAUCCAGUACUACAUGAAUAGCAAGUUUCUCUAGGUUUUCUAUAAUCUUCUACUGUCCUAAUUAUACUCUAAAAUGCGAAGGGCUGAUGGUGAUGGGUGUUUAGAUGUCUCUUGAUUGGGAGUCGUUAGUAUUUAGCUUAAGUCCGUUGAGAUGUAAAAGAGGCCUGUGUGUGAGAGCUGCGCUGCCCGCAGAAGCUCAGUAGCAGCCACCUCAGUGACUGACAGGUGGGUCAAAGUUGCGGAUUUAAGGUGGCUCUGGGAUUUGUGUGAGGCCCAAUAGCCAUCCCCUUCUUUUACCCUGACGCAGUGAAGUUUUCAAUGCAUGAUGAUGUGUGUGAGAGGAAGGGAAUUAAAGAGAGAGAGAGACUUUGCUUAAAGUUGUGUGUGUGUGUGCAUGGGUGAAUUUUAGCACAACCUUCAAUGAGCACAGCUGUGUCGGUGCCUGGAUGUGUUGUUCUCUCAGUUCGCGGGGAGAAGGGAUAAUUCCUGUUCUCUUCAAUUUGUCUAGCUUCUACCAACAGAUACAUUUGUGCCAAAAUACAUGGAUGGAACCUUUACAUGAACAACAAAAUAUGGCAAGUGUUUUCUAAACAUUUUAAAAGUUUAUAAAACUAUUUAUUUUGCUAUCUAUGAUUAUUAUUUGCACUUACAUUAUUUGCAUUUGUUUUUUUCAGAACAGAACUAUGACCCUUUUUUGUGUCCCGACCCACCAGUUGCACAACAGUUACAGGUGAGAGAGAGAGUCGCUUUGUGAUUGGCUGCCCUUCUGCUCCAUAUUCAGAGGUGCUGGAUGAGGCAGAGUGCCCGCAGGGAAAAUGGCGUUGUAAUCAGGAGCCGGCUGUGCUGCCUGAUCAGGUCUUAUACCACCAUGAUGGCACAGUUACUGGUCCACCCCACUUCUAUAUUUAAAUGGAUUGAGCUCAACAAAACAGGGACACUGAGCCCCCCUCUUACCGGGAUCAUCUGUCUGCCUGGUGGACGAGCUGCGUCCUGCCCACUGCACCCAAUUCACAUAGAAAUUUACUCAAAUACUACAGAGGGUUUCAGGAGGAAGGAUUGCUGGAAGAGAUCAGCGGGACUCACUGAGUGGGCAGAGAAAAAUAGCCAGGCCAGUGAAGAUGGAUGGGUGACAGUCCCAUUGGUCACAGCGAUUCAGCACUCAGUCACCACGGAGACAAGCAGUGAAACCAGGAAUGCUGAAAGCCAAAUGAUUUGUGCUGUGAAAAAAAUUUAUAUUUUAGAUAAUUUUCUUAAACAUAAUUUAAUUUAUCAUGUAAAGUAAUGGAGCUUAAACACAUUAAAUAAAUGCUCACCAUCAAAAUGGUGAUGUGAUAAGUUAUUUAAGCUAAAUUUGCAACCCUGUUUUUUAAUUGAAAAUUUAAAAAAUGUUAUGCUAAUUUAGUGUUUAUAUCGAUUUAUCAUUUUACAGGCUAUAUUUAGUAAAUUAAUUAAUUAAUUAAUUGGUUUGUGUGUUUAUUUGACUGGAAAACAACAAUCAGGUUUUAAACUUUAUUUACCCUUUGUAUUGGUAUAUGUUGCAAAAUUUCAAAUCUCAUUUAAAAUUAAUGAAAAAAUAAUAAUAAAUAAAUAAAACAAUUCAUUUAAAAUCAACUUUGACAUCCUAAAGUAUACAAACAACAUUUUCUUAUGUUAAACUCCUUUCACUGACCAUCAGUUCAAAAAGAAAAAAAAGUGACACGUUUUUAAGCCUUUCAGGUUUUAUUUUGAAUGCCUUUUUUUUUUUUUUUUACAGAAAAGGAAAUAAUUUAAUUAAUCUAUCUCUUCUAUUCAGAUCCAAAAAUGAGAUCUUGUCUACUUCCUCUGGAAUAAAUAAGCAAUGCAUGUACUGGUUUAGUAUCUCUUUGUUGAGUUGCUCUAUCCUGUGCCCGUUUACUGGGCAGUGUGUUUGAAAAGAGUGAACAAUGACAGUCCACAAUGAAAGUGCUCAAUUAACUGUAUAACCCAGGCAUCAAUUAAGACAUCAAUUACCAGGUUGAUUGAUGGGGUUAAAUGAUGCGAUUCAUUUUCUCCAUCCAGCAGAAAAACACUGGAAGUCGCAGUAUGUGAAAAUGAGCUGAUGAAUGUUAUAUCCAGUCCACCUUGCACCUAAUGCAAAUACAUAUAUUUUUUAAACUCUUCCUUUUAACUGCAUUUAAAAUAAAUAAAUAAAAUUAGACAUAUUUUUAAUUGUGAAAAACUGUAUAACCUAUAAAGUGUAAAUUACAUUCUUGAACACAUUUUACAUAUGUACGUUGUAUCAUUCCAUUUUAGAAAAAAAUUAUUCACAUUUGAUCACAUGUGAAAUAAUAGAGUCGCCGAGGC
ensembl:lncRNA